GACGAACGCUGGCGGCGUGCUUAACACAUGCAAGUCGAACGGAAAGGCCCUGCUUUUGUGGGGUGCUCGAGUGGCGAACGGGUGAGUAACACGUGAGUAACCUGCCCUUGACUUUGGGAUAACUUCAGGAAACUGGGGCUAAUACCGGAUAGGAGCUCCUGCUGCAUGGUGGGGGUUGGAAAGUUUCGGCGGUUGGGGAUGGCCUCGCGGCUUAUCAGCUUGUUGGUGGGGUAGUGGCUUACCAAGGCUUUGACGGGUAGCCGGCCUGAGAGGGUGACCGGCCACAUUGGGACUGAGAUACGGCCCAGACUCCUACGGGAGGCAGCAGUGGGGAAUAUUGCACAAUGGGCGGAAGCCUGAUGCAGCAACGCCGCGUGCGGGAUGACGGCCUUCGGGUUGUAAACCGCUUUCGCCUGGGACGAAGCGUGAGUGACGGUAAUGGGUAAAGAAGCACCGGCUAACUACGUG
rnacentral:rRNA from 1 species